rnacentral:rRNA from 1 species
AACGCAGGUGGUUUGGUAAGUCAGGGGUGAAAGUCCACAGCUUAACUGUGGCACUGCCUCUGAUACUGCCUUUCUUGAGUAGAGUAGGGGGAAGUGGAAUUCCGAGUGUAGAGGUGAAAUUCGUAGAUAUUCGGAGGAACACCGGUGGCGAAGGCGGCUUCCUGGACUCUAACUGACACUCAUGUUCGAAAGCGUGGGUAGCAAACAGGAUUAGAUACCCUGGUAGUCCACGCCCUAAACGAUGGGCACUAGGUGUGGGAGGUAUCGACCCCUUCCGUGCCGCAGCUAACGCAUUAAGUGUCCCGCCUGGGGAGUACGGCCGCAAGGUUGAA